rnacentral:misc_RNA from 1 species
UCUCCGUUGGUGAACCAGCGGAGGGAUCAUUACCGAGUUCCAGCAACUCCCAACCCUUGCGAACCGUACCCCAGUCUGUUCUCGUUGCUUCCGGCAGGCGGGGGGGGCCACCUGGCCCCUCCCCCUGCCGGGGGCGGCGGGCCCUCCGAACCUUUAUAUCUCAACCACUGAAACCCGUCUGAGCAAAACAAAAAAUAAUCAAAACUUUCAACAACGGAUCUCUUGGCUCUG